GAUGAACGCUAGCGGCAGGCUUAACACAUGCAAGUCGAGGGGCAGCACGGGUAGCAAUACCUGGUGGCGACCGGCGCAAGGGUGCGUAACGCGUGAGCAACAUGCCCUAUACAGGGGGAUAAUCCAGGGAAACUUGGUCUAAUAUCCCAUAGCAUUUAGAGGAGGCAUCUUCACUAAAUUAAAGCUUCGGUGGUAUAGGAUUGGCUCGCGUGACAUUAGCUAGAUGGUGAGGUAACGGCCCACCAUGGCUAUGAUGUCUAGGGGUUCUGAGAGGAAGACCCCCCACACUGGGACUGAGACACGGCCCAGACUCCUACGGGAGGCAGCAGUGAGGAAUAUUGGACAAUGGAUGGAAAGUACUGAUCCAGCCAUGCCGCGUGCAGGAAGACGGCCCUAUGGGUUGUAAACUGCUUUUAUAUGGGAGCAAUAAGGUUUACGAGUAGACCGAUGAGAGUACCAUAUGAAUAAGCAUCGGCUAACUCCG
rnacentral:rRNA from 1 species